rnacentral:rRNA from 1 species
AAAAGAAACCAACAGGGAUUGCCUCAGUAACGGCGAGUGANGCGGCACCAGCUCAAAUUUGAAAUCUGGCUCUUGGGCCCGAGUUGUAAUUUGUAGAGGAUGUUUUGGGUACCGUUGCAGUUUAAUUUUCUUGGAACAGAAUGUCAGAGAGGGUGAGAGUCCCGUCUGGAACUGCGGUAGGGCCUAUGUAAAACUCCUUCGACGAGUCGAGUUGUUUGGGAAUGCAGCUCAAAAUGGGUGGUAAAUUUCAUCUAAAGCUAAAUAUUGGCCAGAGACCGAUAGCGCACAAGUAGAGUGAUCGAAAGAUGAAAAGCACUUUGAAAAGAGAGUUAAACAGUAUGUGAAAUUGUUGAAAGGGAAGCGCUUGUAACCAGACUUGUGUAUCGCGGUUCCCCCUUGCUUUUGCUUGGGCUAUUCCGUUUUAUCCAGGCCAACAUCGGUUUCAGGAGUUGGUUAAAGACCUUAGGAAUGUACUUACUCUCGGGUAAACUUAUAGCCUAGGGUGUCAUGCAACUUCCCGGGACCGAGGUACGCG